GCAGGUAGCCUAGUGGUUAGAGCAUUAGGCCGGUAACCUAAAGGUUGCUAGUUUGAAUCUGUUGAUCUGCC
rnacentral:tRNA from 1 species